rnacentral:misc_RNA from 1 species
GAUGAAGAACGUAGUGAAAUGCGAUAAGUAAUGUGAAUUGCAGAAUUCAGUGAAUCAUCGAAUCUUUGAACGCACAUUGCGCCCCCUGGUAUUCCGGGGGGCAUGCCUGUUCGAGCGUCAUUUCACCACUCAAGCCUCGCUUGGUAUUGGGCAACGCGGUCCGCCGCGUGCCUCAAAUCGACCGGCUGGGUCUUCUGUCCCCUAAGCGUUGUGGAAACUAUUCGCUAAAGGGUGUUCGGGAGGCUACGCCGUAAAACAACCCCAUUUCUAAGGUUGACCUCGGAUCAGGUAGGGAUACCCGCUGAACUUAAGCAUAUCAAUAGCGGAGGA